rnacentral:rRNA from 1 species
GACGAACCGAGCGAACGUUGUUCGGAAUCACUGGGCUUAAAGGGCGCGUAGGCGGGUGCUCAAGUCCGGGGUGAAAUCCCACAGCUCAACUGUGGAACUGCCUCGGAUACUGGGCGUCUCGAGGGUGGCAGGGGUAUGCGGAACUAUCGGUGGAGCGGUGAAAUGCGUUGAUAUCGACCGGAACUCCGGUGGCGAAGGCGAGGCGCUGGACCCUUUCUGACGCUGAGGCGCGAAAGCCAGGGGAGCAAACGGG